AAAAACAUAAACUGUAUAAUUUAUAAUAUAAAUUAAUAUAUUAAUAAAUUUUAUCAUUGAAAGUCUUAUCGUUUUCUUAUCUCGAGACGGAAAGAAACGUCGAACUAAUCUCAAAGGUAGCAAGCGUGCUGCAAUUGUUGGCAAUGACUAGAAAAUUAUUCAGCGGUAUUUUUUGUUCAUUGUUAUAUCCAAGCUUUUGUAUUGCCCGGAAGUAAAAGUACAGCCAUGGGUUAAGAAAUAUUUAAUUAUUUAAGUAAAUUUCAUAGACAAACAAAUCAAUAGGAGGUGACGUAAGUGAAAAGUUUUAAAAACAAAGAAGAUAAAAAUGACAUAUGGGUUUGAAUUGCGUAGUUUCAUUUUUCCCCUAAAAAUCAAUCAAAUUAACUGGCAAUUGGAUCUAUGCUGGUUUUAUUAGAGUUGACAUAUCCCAUGCGAGGGUUUUUGUUUCCUCUUUUCCUUCGAAAUCUAAUCUUAACUUAUCGAUACACAUAAACAAUCUGAUGGAGAUUUGUUCCCCUUGAGUAAUAUCCUUUUUAUAUUAUUUUAGACUACUCGUGAGUAAACAGUCGAGGCCACGAGGUCGAGGAAAUCCUGAAACUUGAAUGUCCAUUGAAAACCGUAAUAAAAAUAAUUAAAAGCAAUUAAUGGGCACCACUAGUGUGAAAUUUUGAAAAACUGUCUUUUUUUUCAUAUUUCGAUAGUCUAUACCUUUAAAAAUAUAUCAGAUCUUUUAAAAAAUUAAAAUCUCCAGUUUUCCGAUUGAAUAAAAAUUCAAAUUUACGCGCGAAAUUUGAAAUUUUUUUUAAAACUCCGGCAUUUUGAAAAAUUUCAUUUUUUUUUUUAUCGGGGGUCAUGGUACAGACAAUACCUUCUAGUUUAAUAAACUUUUGGGCUUUUUUGAUUUCGAGCUCUGUGAAGGUCGCUAUCACUGCAGCAAUGGGGGGACUUUUUUUGGAGCCUUGGGAAAUUGCGAACAAGUUGAAUUUCUAAUGAAAAUUAAAAAUCAUCUUUUUUUCAGGCGCUCACACUAAUGCUGCCCCUUAAAAAAAUGAUUUUAUUUUUAAAUCACUUAUUAAUUAAGUCGAUUUAUUACUGCGCGGCUGAUGAGACAAAACAUUUAGAAUUUGGCGUACGCUUGUUGCAUUUGUCUGACGUAAUACUGAAAGCUGGUGCAAUGCGGGAUUCGAGGGCCAAAAGAGUGGUCGUCUCCGUCGUCAGUUUACGAUACUAAAUUUUUAUUAGUAUAUAAAUGAAGAUGACAAAGAGGAAGAGAGACAGAGAGGGAAUGAGCGACAGAGAGAGGAUCAAAGCGCGUCAGAGCAGCCAAUCAAAUACAAAUGUCAUCAACAUUUGACCCUAAUGAAGAUUAUCUAGGCUUUGCGGUAUAUAUUAUAGUGUCUCUGCUGGGAAAAAAAAUAUUAUUUCUGCUGGUAAAAAAUAGCAAAAAAAGCGAAGAAGAAUCUCGUAUAAAAGUGGAAGAGUUGAGGAAAAAGAGGACAGCAACGCAAAAGAGCCGUGAGCGGGAAUGAAAGACAUUGCAAAGCGUGAAUACAAAGAAGAUUUCUCGAAACUGAUCGACCUUCCUUCCAGCAGCAACAACUGUAUGUACAAUUCUCUUUACUUGGACUUUUCAACGCCAGCAAACCCGUAAAAUUGCAUAAAAGUAAAACCAACUACGAGCUGGUCUUCCUCAUCCUUGUAUACACAAUUACUCGGCUAAUGUAAUAAGCGAAACAAAUAAUAAUUAAAUAUAAAAGUAAAUAAAAUAAUGGAAAAUAAAUGUGUACAAAGUGGUUGGAACAACAGUCGGUAUUGUACUGAAGAUUUAAUUAAUCAAACAAUCGUUAUUAAAUUUAAUUACUUUUAUUAUUUCAUUUAACUUUUGUCUCCGGCAGUGUGUUGCGUCGUUGUACAGCCGCAUGCUCUUGGAAUGCUGAAGAGCAACCCAAUGUCAGUUUCUUCGAUCUCCAGUGCACAAGAAAAGACCAAGAGGAAAAGAAUAUGGAGAAGAGAAGAUGUAGGAGGUGAAAGAGGUGGUGGCAAGCUCAUGCACUCAAGACUAAAGCAACUAAUGUACAGAAAGAGAAAAAAAAUUUAAGAGGAAAGAGAGUGAGGAUAAAAAGCUCACGAGUGUAUAUGUACAUGAAUGAUACAUAUAUACGCAGCCAGAAUUGAGGCCAACAUUCAACCCCCGUGAAUUUAUUUGCCAGUACAUAUUUUAAGUGAAGAAAAAGAUGAGGUCUACAAGAGAUUAUUGGAAUUUAUUCAUACGAAAAAAAAUUAUCAGCGUUACUGUCAUGUGACGAGAUUCGGCUUCAAGAUAAUUUAAAAAAUAUAUAUAUAUUUACUUUGAGGAAAUAUAUUUAAUUAAUUUUUUUUCCGCUGUUUACUGUCGCAACCACUUGACUUUUCAUCACACAGUUCCUUUAUUCUUCGCCCCUAUCGCAAUUUCUCCUUAUUUUCUUCCUGAUUUUCUUCUUCAUCCCAGCUAUUUUCAGUCAGCCUUCGUACUAUUUGUGCGUGCUCGAGACUCAUUGGACCAUAAAUUAUAAUUUCAGUCCUAAUAUAAAUGUCCACUAAUUUAUUAUCCUUAUGGAUGGCAUUAAAGUUUAUGUCCUAUUUAGAUUUUUAUUAUAUUUGUUUGUGGUUUACUAUCUCUAAUGACCUAUUACACAUUAUUUAAUAUUCUAGUCGACUAAUGUAAUUAACGGUAAUACAAUAAGUCACUAUAAAGAAUGAUAUCUUACAUUACUUAAUAAAGAGGAGCCACGUGCGGGCCUUUGCGUGCCAAAAGACUAACCGUCGAGACACAUUUUAGUUUCGCAAAAUGUUUAUCUGGCUUACUAUUACUUCACGUGUGACUGUCUAUCACGUUUUCUAUGCCAAAAAUUUUAAAAACAUCCAUCAAUUAUUACACAUAUCACACAUCAUAUCCUUGACACACUUCAUUUCAUUUAAUACUUCCUCAAUAUAUUAUCAUUACACAUUUCCUCAUUCAUAUAUAAAAUAUAUAGAUACCGAUCGCUACA